rnacentral:rRNA from 1 species
AAUGAACGCUGGCGGCAGGCUUAACACAUGCAAGUCGAACGAGAACGCACCUUCGGGUGUUAUUAGAGUGGCAAACGGGUGAGUAACACGUGGGAACGUACCUUUCAGUCUGGAAUAGCCCCGGGAAACUGGGAUUAAUACCGGAUAUUCUCUACGGAGGAAAGAUUUAUCGCUGAAAGAUCGGCCCGCGUUAGAUUAGUUUGUUGGUGAGGUAACGGCUCACCAAGACUACGAUCUAUAGCUGGUCUGAGAGGAUGAUCAGCCACACUGGGACUGAGAUACGGCCCAGACUCCUACGGGAGGCAGCAGUGAGGAAUAUUGGACAAUGGAGGAAACUCUGAUCCAGCCAUGCCGCGUGAGUGAUGAAGGCCUUCGGGUUGUAAAACUCUUUUAGAUGGGAAGAUAAUGACGGUACCAUCAGAAAAAGCUCCGGCUAACUUCG